rnacentral:lncRNA from 1 species
AGAACGAGAAAAGGUAGUAAGUUAUUUUUCAAUAUUUUGAACUUUUAUUUCCAGUGCUUAUGAUAUAAACACAGCAGUGAGUUGGUGUGUAUUUGUUGGUAAGAUUUAGAAGGGUGGUAGGUAGUAUUAUUAUUAUCUUUUGUAAAAUUUAAGAGGGUUGUUUGCAUGCCGUGAGUGCGUUUGUAUUUGUGUUAAACCGUAGAUAUGUAUAUAUAAUUUGAUGUACACUUAGUAGGGGUCUAUUUGCUGAAGCAGCAGUUUGCAUCACGUGCACGAAGCAUUUAGAUUAGAUUAUCAUGACCAGAGUCAAAAUAAAAUGUCUGAAAAUCUAAUAAUACGAGGAAUAAUUAAAUGGUUACAGAAUGGAAACUUCGUAAGCCUAAAAGUGAAGCGUGUUUUAGUGUACGCAAUAUAUUACAAAUAGUUCUUAAUAUGCAACGUGUGUAAUUUGUUUGCAAAUUGAGUUAUUUAUAGUGCAUAAAAAUGUGAAUAUGUAAUGUACAUAUAUAUAUUAAUGCAAACAGAGUACGAGAAAAAUAAAGUACACGAUUAGUUUAUCCUAAAAA